GGUCUGUUGGUCUAGAGGUAUGAUUCCUUCUUAGGGUUGUUGUUUCAGCCGUUUGAAGGAGGUCCUGGGUUCAAUUCCUGGAUGGAUCC